rnacentral:rRNA from 1 species
UGGGGAAUAUUGGACAAUGGGCGAAAGCCUGAUCCAGCCAUGCCGCGUGUGUGAAGAAGGUCUUCGGAUUGUAAAGCACUUUAAGUUGGGAGGAAGGGCAUUAACCUAAUACGUUAGUGUUUUGACGUUACCGACAGAAUAAGCACCGGCUAACUCUGUGCCAGCAGCCGCGGUAAUACAGAGGGUGCAAGCGUUAAUCAGAAUUACUGGGCGUAAAGCGCGCGUAGGUGGUUUGUUAAGUUGGAUGUGAAAUCCCCGGGCUCAGCCUGGGAACUGCAUUCAAAACUGACUGACUAGAGUAUGGUAGAGGGUGGUGGAAUUUCCUGUGUAGCGGUGAAAUGCGUAGAUAUAGGAAGGAACACCAGUGGCGAAGGCGACCACCUGGACUAAUACUGACACUGAGGUGCGAAAGCGUGGGGAGCAAACA